ACAUGCUGUGAGCUCGAUGAGUAGGGCGGGACACGUGGUAUCCUGUCUGAAUAUGGGGGGACCAUCCUCCAAGGCUAAAUACUCCUGACUGACCGAUAGUGAACCAGUACCGUGAGGGAAAGGCGAAAAGAACCCCGGCGAGGGGAGUGAAAAAGAACCUGAAACCGUGUACGUACAAGCAGUGGGAGCACGCUUAGGCGUGUGACUGCGUACCUUUUGUAUAAUGGGUCAGCGACUUAUAUUCUGUAGCAAGGUUAACCGAAUAGGGGAGCCGAAGGGAAACCGAGUCUUAACUGGGCGUUAAGUUGCAGGGUAUAGACCCGAAACCCGGUGAUCUAGCCAUGGGCAGGUUGAAGGUUGGGUAACACUAACUGGAGGACCGAACCGACUAAUGUUGAAAAAUUAGCGGAUGACUUGUGGCUGGGGGUGAAAGGCCAAUCAAACCGGGAGAUAGCUGGUUCUCCCCGAAAGCUAUUUAGGUAGCGCCUCGUGAAUUCAUCUCCGGGGGUAGAGCACUGUUUCGGCAAGGGGGUCAUCCCGACUUACCAACCCGAUGCAAACUGCGAAUACCGGAGAAUGUUAUCACGGGAGACACACGGCGGGUGCUAACGUCCGUCGUGAAGAGGGAAACAACCCAGACCGCCAGCUAAGGUCCCAAAGUCAUGGUUAAGUGGGAAACGAUGUGGGAAGGCCCAGACAGCCAGGAUGUUGGCUUAGAAGCAGCCAUCAUUUAAAGAAAGCGUAAUAGCUCACUGGUCGAGUCGGCCUGCGCGGAAGAUGUAACGGGGCUAAACCAUGCACCGAAGCUGCGGCAGCGACACUAUGUGUUGUUGGGUAGGGGAGCGUUCUGUAAGCCUGUGAAGGUGUGCUGUGAGGCAUGCUGGAGGUAUCAGAAGUGCGAAUGCUGACAUAAGUAACGAUAAAGCGGGUGAAAAGCCCGCUCGCCGGAAGACCAAGGGUUCCUGUCCAACGUUAAUCGGGGCAGGGUGAGUCGACCCCUAAGGCGAGGCCGAAAGGCGUAGUCGAUGGGAAACAGGUUAAUAUUCCUGUACUUGGUGUUACUGCGAAGGGGGGACGGAGAAGGCUAUGUUGGCCGGGCGACGGUUGUCCCGGUUUAAGCGUGUAGGCUGGUUUUCCAGGCAAAUCCGGAAAAUCAAGGCUGAGGCGUGAUGACGAGGCACUACGGUGCUGAAGCAACAAAUGCCCUGCU
rnacentral:rRNA from 1 species